GACGAACGCUGGCGGCGUGCUUAACACAUGCAAGUCGAACGGAAAGGCCCUGCUUUUGUGGGGUGCUCGAGUGGCGAACGGGUGAGUGACACGUGAGUAACCUGCCCUUGACUUUGGGAUAACUUCAGGAAACUGGGGCUAAUAUCGGAUAGGAGCUCCUGCUGCAUGGUGGGGGUUGGAAAGUUUCGGCGGUUGGGGAUGGACUCGCGGCUUAUCAGCUUGUUGGUGGGGUAGUGGCUUACCAAGGCUUUGACGGGUAGCCGGCCUGAGAGGGUGACCGGCCACAUUGGGACUGAGAUACGGCCCAGACUCCUACGGGAGGCAGCAGUGGGGAAUAUUGCACAAUGGGCGGAAGCCUGAUGCAGCAACGCCGCGUGCGGGAUGACGGCCUUCGGGUUGUAAACCGCUUUCGCCUGUGACGAAGCGUGAGUGACGGUAAUGGGUAAAGAAGCACCGGCUAACUACGUG
rnacentral:rRNA from 1 species